rnacentral:rRNA from 1 species
UAACGGCGAGCGAAAAGGGAUUAGCCCAUUUUGUAAAUCUCCAGUCUUUGGCUGGUUGAAUUGUAGUCUGAGAGUAGCAUCUCCUGGUGUCGCGUCGGCCCAAGCAGUCUUGGAAUAGAUCGCCACAGAGGGAGAGAGCCCCGUAGGCCGUCCGCGUCAUCUUCACGGAGUGUUCACGGAGAGUCGGGUUGUUUGGGAAUGCAGCCCUAAUUGGGUGGUAAACCCCAUCUAAGGCUAAAUACCAGUGGGAGACCGAUAGCAAAAAAGUACCUCGAGGGAACGAUGAAAAAACCGCUGGCAAGCGAGUGAAAGAGUGCAUGAAAUUGUACAGUGGGAAGGGAUGGCCUGGCAGUGUUGCCCUUGGGUAUAAACCGCUCCUUGAGCGGCUGAAUACACCUUGGGCUGGCUGGUGCCGACACCCGCGCUUGCAUAUCCCCCCGCUAAGGUGCUUGGCUCUUCAAGCGCUGGUGUUGAGGUUGAUCGUUGCUUUGCUUUUAUCUGCAUCGACAUAGCAGCAGCUGAUGCUUGUCCAUCUACAC